rnacentral:rRNA from 1 species
UACGUAGGGACCAAGCGUUGUUCGGAUUUACUGGGCGUAAAGGGCGCGUAGGUGGCCCGGUCAGUCCGUGGUGAAAGCGCGGGGCUCAACCCUGCGUCGGCCAUGGAUACUGCCGCGGCUCGAGCACUGUAGAGGCAGGCGGAAUUCCGGGUGUAGCGGUGGAAUGCGUAGAGAUCCGGAAGAACACCGGUGGCGAAGGCGGCCUGCUGGGCAGUUUGGCUGACACUGAGGCGCGACAGCGUGGGGAGCAAACAGG